rnacentral:rRNA from 1 species
ACGCUCGACACCUACGGGAGGCAGCAGUGGGGAAUAUUGCACAAUGGGGGAAACCCUGAUGCAGCGACGCCGCGUGAGCGAAGAAGUAUUUCGGUAUGUAAAGCUCUAUCAGCAGGGAAGAUAAUGACGGUACCUGACUAAGAAGCUCCGGCUAAAUACGUGCCUGCAGCCGCGGUAAUCUGAGCGGGCUGGCAAGGC